CAGAAAUGUCAUUUUAUAGCGUUAUUUUAAUAACGCUUUUUAACAUUUCGCUAUUGAAGAUAUCAUUUAUAGCGUACUAUAGCGUUUUAAAAAUAAGCCCUAUUAAAAGUCGACUUACAACAGCGCUUUCUACAAAGCCCUAUAAAAAAGUUAUUAAAAAAAUAAAAAUAUAAAUAAAAAUAAAAGUAAAAGAGCUUUUGAAUACCAAUUACCAAAUUAUAGUCAGACCCUUUGUUCUUCUUUCCGUAUUUAUGGUUUUCUCUCAAAAGAAAACCCUUAUAAACAUUUCUUUUCAAUCCUCCGCCCCAUUCAAUUUCUUAGUUCCAAUUUCAUGGAUAUUAGAGGAGCUCGCAAUAGAGGCAUGCUCAGGCUAUUCAUAGGGAAACAACGGCUUCAAAAAAUCUUGUAUAAGGAGUUAAUCAUGCUAUCAGGACUGCUCAAUUCUCCCUGUGUUCGGAGAAGCUUGUUCAGAUAAAUGAAGCUUGCUUUGGGGGACUACUUUUUGGUUAUGAUAUUGGUGCUACAUCCUCUGCCACAAUUUCAUUUCAGGUCGUGCUCUUCACAAACUCGGGUAUGGAAGCAAAUGAGUUGGCCUUAAUGAUGGCAAUGUUGUACACUGGAUGGCAGGACAUUAAUCCUUGAGGAAUGCUUACCAUGGAAACACAGCUGGAACUAUAGGUGCAACUGCUCAGUGCAAUUGGGAGUUCAAUGUUACUCAGGUAUUGGGUUCUUAUGCUUCUUUGAGUUGCUAAAACGACUGCCCAUGUUCAAUCUCUAAGUCUUUUUUUAAUGUUGACUGUACCAUUUGUACAGUGAUUCCAAUUCCUGAGUUUUAAUUGGCUUACUUUGUUUAAGGAAUACAUUUCUUUUCCUAGCUUUAUAGGACAAACAGCUGCUUCAUUUGGAAUUCCUGUGAGUUUUUAAUUUCGAUUUAAGAUUUUAUAAUGGCCCUGUGUAACUCUUUUCUAUUCAGUUUACAAUAAACUUUGCAGAAGAAUGAGCUAGUUUCUAGGUAUGAGGUCAAUUCUUCGUACAAACAAAUGUUAUGACAUGUUAUGGUUUAGGAAUAAGACGUUGCUGGCCUUGUGGCAGAUUCCAUUAAAAACCAAAGCUUAGUAUUAUUGUAAACUGCAUAUUUUUUACCUGUUAGCUAACAAACUAUUAGAGCAGGUUAGAGCAGGUUAGAGCAGAUUAGAGCGGUUGUGUUCUGUUGGAGUUCUUUCUUUUCAAUUAGAGCAGAUUUUCUAAGGAGGAUUUGUGUUCUUGUAGACUCUUUCUUUUCAAUUGGGGCAGACUUCCUAAGGGGGAUUUGCAGCUUUAUUACUGCCGAGCAGAACACAAGAAAUAAUAAGAAAUUUAUGUUCUCAUGAGUCAUGUCUGCUUGGGUUAACUUUCAGGAUAAUUUGAUUUUAUUUGGCACGCAUACACAUUAUCACCUAAUUAUUCGGCAAACUAAACGGCAGACUAAAGUUAUCUUAGUAACUUUGCAGAAAGAAUUUUUUUUCCCCUCUUAUAUAUAUGUAUGAAUAUCUUAUACCCCGUUGCUUUGCAGUACUUUUCAGAUUGUCAGUUUUCAAGUUAUGACAAAGAGCAAAUUGACGUAGUAGGAACUCUGUGGGUGCGCCAUGUUAUUCAACAAUUGUAUAAUAACUAGGUGACGUUGAAGGAACAAAAAACAUACAACUCUAGUAAUUGAUGUAUUUUGUGUAGUGCAAUGUUUCUAAUCUUAUUUUAGAACAUAUUAUGUAAUCGGUUUUAUUAAGAUGACAAUUGCAAAAUUCAUUGAGGUUUGGAAAUUAAUAUUCAACUAUUUACUACACUCUUCAAUAUAUGGUAUUUUGAAAUAUUUGUAGUUAUUUUGUGGCAUAAAAUAGUAUAUAUUGCAGCCAACGAAAUUACAAAAAAUAAAUAAAAAUAAUCACUUUAAUAGUGUUGUAUAUACAUCCGCUGUUAGAAAACAAUUCAAAAUUUGGCGGCAAAAUCUUUAAUAGCACACUUUUAAUACCGCUUAUAAUGCGCUGUAAAAGAAAUAUUUGAAUUAUCCUAACAGUACCUUUUAUAGCGCUUUUGACAAACGCUAUUGAAAGUACCUUUUACUUUUAAUAGCGAAGCCAUCAACAGCGCUUCAAGAAGCGCUAUAAAAUGCCAUAUUAAGCGCUAUAAAAGGCAUUUUUUUGGCGUAGUGCUACUUUGAGACAGUAGGUGGGAGAAAGAAGGGAAAGGUCCCCGGGCUGGGUAGUGGAGCCUCUCUAUACUUUGCACCAUCUAGAAGGGGUGGUAGUUCUUCUAGCUCAUACACCCCAUCUAUUUAUUCUCAAAUGUCAUCUCGAUUGGAAGAGACUCAACAACAGUUGACCCAAAAAUCCAUUGAGCUUGAAACAACAAAAAAUCAGAUGUUAAAGGCUAUGGAGGACGAUCUACUUUUGAGGCAAAGGGAGAGAGAAGAAAGAGAAGCAGAGCGACUACAGCACCAAAGGGAGAUGGAAAGGGAGAGACAAGAGAGAGAAAGGGAGAGACAAGAAAGAGAAGAACAUGCCGCCCAGAUGAAAAAGGCAAUGGAGUCUUACGAGCGGAUGUUCAGUCAGUGUACUGGUUUUCCUUUCUCGCAGUCGCAGGACCCUCGAGAUCCACCCGGAGGCGGGACACCUUUGUGUUAGGUAGUUAGUAUUCUUGUAUUAGUUUGAACUAGUUACAACUUUUCGUAUUAACAUGUUUGAACAACAUUAUGUGUAUUAUGAAUCUUUGUUGUAUGACUUUGAACAUGUUUAAUAUUAUAACAUCGAGCAGGUUUCAUACGA